CCUACGGGAGGCAGCAGUGAGGAAUAUUGGUCAAUGGUCGGGAGACUGAACCAGCCAAGCCGCGUGAGGGAGGAAGGAACAGAGUAUUGUAAACCUCUUUUGUCAGGGAACAAAGACUGGGACGCGUCCCCGGAUGAGUGUACCUGAAGAAAAAGCAUCGGCUAAAUCCGUGCCAGCAGCCGCGGUAAUACGGAGGAUGCGAGCGUUAUCCGGAUUUAUUGGGGUUAAAGGGUGCGCAGGCGGUCUGUUAAGUCAGCGGUCAAAGCCCGGGGCUCAACCCCGGCCCGCCGUUGAAACGGGCAGUCUCUAGUGGGAGAGAAGUAUGCGGAAUGCGCGGGGUAGCGGUGAAAGGCAUAGAUAUCGCGCAGAACUCCGAGUGCGAAGGCAGCAUGCCGGCUCCACACUGACGCUGAGGCACGAAAGCGUGGGUAUCGAACAGGAUUAGAUACACCGGUAGUC
rnacentral:rRNA from 1 species